rnacentral:rRNA from 1 species
AGUGAACGCUGGCGGCGUGCCUAAUACAUGCAAGUCGAACGAGUGGCGCACGGGUGGGUAAUGUAUAGCUAAUCUGCCCUACACUAGAGGACAACAGUUGGUAACGACUGCUAAUACUCCAUAGUGUAGGAUGAGGCUAUAUUGUAUCAGCUAGUUGGUGAGGUAAUGGCUGACCAAGGCUAUGACGCAUAACUGGUCUGAGGGGAUGAUCAGUCGCACUGGAACGGAGGCACGGUCCAGACUCCUACGGGAAGCAGCAGUAGGGAAUAUUGCUCAAUGGGGGAAACCCUGAAGCAGCAACGGCGCGUGGAGGAUGACAAUUUUGGGAGCAUAAACUCCUUUUGUUAGCGAAGCGGUACCUAACGAAUAAGCACCGGCUAACUCCGUGCCAGCAGCCGCGGUAAUUC